AGCUGCGUGUGUUGUUUUAGUCCCAUCCCCAUCCCAGCGGAAGAACCGCUUACCUCAAAGUCUUCAUCGGUGAGAUAGAUCUCAAGCUUCAGAGGAUCGACCCCCUCUGGGAGUGGCCUGGCCAGGAGGUCGGCCAGCGGCAGGGAAACAUAUUGGUGAAUGUCAGAGGCUCCAGGCCAGCAUGGAUAAGGCACGUUAGAGGGAGCCUCACCUUUGCAGUACUGGAGCACAGUCUCCAUCGCGCUCUUCCGAUCGGAGGCCCAGCGGAUGCGGGCAGAACCAGGGAUCUUGUUCUCGAUGGGCCACCAGCCUUGCCAGAGGUACACCUCGUGGUGAUUGUCAACAAGGAAAAGCGCUGUGAGGGAGGGACAGAGCCCGAGCAUCAGGAGCUCCUUCGCGGACACUUGCAGCUGACUUUUCCCAAACCUAAUGGAUGCUGCUCCUCCCCACUGCUGUGUCAUGGGGGAAAUCCCCUUGGCUCUCACCCUAGGGACAAAGGGGCAAACACAGUGUCCCACCCAGCCCUCUGAAAGUUCAACUGAGAGAAGCCUCUAGGCAGAGAGAGGUGGUAUCAAGGAGUUGGCCUCUUUCAUUCCUCGUCCUCCAGGUCCUCCCAUCUUUGCUCCAGCUCAAGCCCAUGUAAUGCUUUUGGAUGCUGGCAGGGCUGUGCUGAGAGUGGAAGGGAUGAUGGAUGUGCCACUCAAGGGGCUGUCAGCGCCACGCCAUCUCCAAAGAGCAGUCAACACUGGUGCGUACAGCUCACUGCAGAGAGGUCAGUGGCGUUCCUGCCCUGCGUGUGACUGCUUAGCAGUGAGUGGCAGCUGACGGGUGACCAUGCUGCAACAAGACUGAGGAAGGCUGGGAGAAGAGCAGAGAUGCCAGCUCUGCCACUGUGGCACUCAAACUUCUUAGCAGACAUCUUUGGGUGGGUUAAGUAACUGAGCCUCGUUCCUUAUGCUAUAUAAUGUGUGGCUGAUUUCACCCUCCUUCUGGUGUAGAGAUGCGGAUGAAAUAGCAUAAGCACAUAUUGUUCUGGGUGUUCUGGGAGUGUACGUGGCAAAGAGAAGCUGCUUAAUGAAUACCGAUGUAAAAUCAAAAGGCUUCCUGGAAGGUGUGCCUUCUGCUGCUCAGCGUAGCUGCCUCCUGCAAGGCUUACCUGGUUGGGGCGCGCUAUACAGAUCUUCCUGCAGGAAGGGCAUGGAACUGACCACAGAGGGGGCUCGGGCGGGGUACACGAACUCAGUGGCUACGAAAUCCCCAGAGGAGCUGCUGAGGAUGAACAGGCGAGGUGCGAAGUUAAAACUUCCAGGAUCUUUGAAAGAAAAGAGAACAAAGCUGAAGAUACCAUAUGCAGCAAAGUAAAUUCCAGAUGAAGAAUGAAAACAUGAAAUAAUUAAGUGCACUGUGGAAACAGGAUUUAUCUGAGCUUCAAGGUGGAAAAGACCUUUUCAAUUGCAAUAGUAAAAGAACUAAUCAAAAGGGAAAUAAUACAUUAAUUAUAUAAAAAUUAAAAUGCAAAAUUGAAAAAAACCAAGUCACAAAUGGGAAAUAUUUGUAAUACAGCAACUAGUUAAUAUCUUUAAUACAUGAAGGGGCAUACAUUAAAAAAACAUAAAUCUCCCAAUAAAAUGUGCAAAAGACACAAAUAGAACACUCACCAAAGUAGAAAUUAAAAUGGCUAAAAAAUAUAUACAUAUGUAACAAAUAUGCAUGUUAUAUAACAAAUAUACAUAUAUUUUAUUUGUAUAUAUUAUACAUUUAUAUACAUAUAUACGUACUUCUAAGUAAAACAAAACAACGCUUAGCUAUCUGUCUCCUUUCAUCAAUUUGGCAAAGAGGAAAAAAUAUGCUGAAUUUAUGAUUGUGCUGAGAAUGUACUUUUGUAUAUUGCAAGUGAGAAUGAAACUUGGCCCGUGCUGACACAUGCUAUAAGACUUUCGUAACUAGCACGGCAGUUCCACAUCUAAGAAUUCCUCUCAAUUAGAAAUGAAAGUAUACGAUUAUUUUAAAAAGUAUUCAAACUGCAUUAUUUUACAAGGGAGAAAAAUCAGAAACAAGAAUCAACUCCUCAGCUACCAGAGACUGUCAGGUAGAGUGGUAUAUUUGCAGAGUAAUCAUAGAGUAUCUUGCAGCCGUUAGAAAUCCACAUUUUAAUAUCUUGGGAGAUUAUGCAUAAUAAAGGAAAAAAGGUUACAAAACAGUAGGUCCACAUUUUAUUUUUAAAAAUAGUUAUAUACAGCAUAGUCCUGAGAGGUGAUCAUAAGUGACUUCAUUUUUUUUUUUAAACUUCUGUAUAAUUUCAAACAUUUCCUAGGCAUUAUGUUUAAAAAGCUAUAUAAAAGUUUAAAACAUUGAGGGGCAUUACGGAGUAGUUAGGAUACUGGCAUGGUCCCCUGGAACUUUUGGGAGCUGAAUUGCCAGUGGGAAUUUGAAAUCCUGGUGUCCAAGUUAAACUCACCCCUGGGGAGAAAAGAACUGUUCGAUCAGCUGGACAUAGUACUCAUCACACUAGAUUUAUGAUAGGCUGAAGAAUUAAGAUAAAACAUGAAUGGGGCACAGUGGCUCAUGCCUCCAGUCUCAGCACUUUGGGAGGCUGAGGUAGGCUGAUCACUUGAGCCCAGGAGGUUGAAGCUGCAGUGAGCUGUGUUUGUACUACUAUACUCCAGCCUGGGCAACAGAGCAAGACUCUUAUUUCCAAAAACAAAAGAACUGGAUUGCAGGCUGUGGAUGACGCAUUAAUUACCUUGAAGCAUGCAAUCGUAGGCUUUCCUGUCCCUCCUUCCUAAGGCAUCCCAGAAUCCCAGGGGCUCGGAGCCUUCGUCACACUCAUGUAUGGUCACUUUGCUGCUACUAUGCAGUCCUGCUUCCAGGGGGCAUCUGCAAGGGAGAAACUCCAAGAAUUCUUUUUAAGUCUGGAGAGUGUUCAUGACACAGAAUUAUUAUUACAAUAACAGGUUUAUAAUAGCUUUACUGAGAUACAAUUCGCAUGUCAUAAAGUUCACUCUUUAUGUGUACAGAUUUUAGUAUACACAGAGUUGUGCAACUGUCAUCACCAAUUUCAGAACAUUUUCAUCCCCUGGAAAGAGAAGCCCUCUGCCCAUAAGCAGUCACUCCCAUUCCCCUCCUUAGUCCUCAGAACACACUUGUCUGCUUCUGUAUUGAUGGAUUUGCCUAGUUUGCACAUUUCAUACAGAUGGAAUUAUAUGGUCCUUUGUGACUAUUUUUUUACUUAGUAUAAUGUAUUUAAGGUUCGUUCGUGUUGUAGCAUGUCUCAGUACUGAAUUCUUUUUUAUGGCAGAAUAAUAAUAUGCUGUGAUGCCACAUUUUUUUCAUCCACUAAUGCAUUGGUAGAUAUUUGGGUUAUUUCUGCCUUUUGGCCACUAUGACUAAUAUUGCUAUGAACUUUCAUGUACAAGUGUUUUCAUUUCUCUUGGGUAGAUACCUCAGAGUAGAGUUGCUAGUCAUAUGGUAACUGUAUGGUUAAAUCUUUAGAGGAUUUGCUACACUGUUUUCCAAGGUGGCUGUACUAUUUUACAACCUCUGCAGUAAUGUGUGAGGGUUCCAACUUCACAUCCUCGCCAAUACUUGUUAUUGUCUGCCUUUUAAAAAAAUUUUAUAUUUGUGGGUAUAUACUAAUAGUAGGUAUAUAUAUAUUUAUGGGGUGCAGACACAAAAGUAUUCAAAACUAAAUCUGGAGAUCAGUUCACUAUCUCUUCUACUUUCUAAGGAAAAGCAAUUCUUACGAAUGAAAAAAUAUUCUGCAGUUGUGACUGUGGUGGUGGAGAAGUUUAUUUGACCCCUAGGGAGGGAUGUAUGAUCACAUUAAUAUGUCAUGAACAUUAUAGACAUUUUUAGGCUGGGUGCAGUGGCUCACGCUUGUAAUCCAAGCACUUUGGGAGGCCGAGGCGGAUGGAUCACGAGGUCAGGAGUUCAAGACCAGCUUGGCCAAGAUGGUGAAACCGGUCUCUGCUAGAAACUACAAAAAAAUUAGCUGGGUGCAAUGGCAGGCUCCUGUAAUCGCAGCUAUUCGGGAGGCUGAGACAGGAGAAUUGCUUGAGCCCAGGAGGCGGAGGUUGCAGUGAGCCGAGAUUGCCCCACUGCACUCCAGCCUGGGCAACAAGAGUGGGAUUCCAUCUCAAAAAAAGAGAAAUUGUAUGGAUAAGACAUCUAGAAAACUUUAAAACGAGUUAGAAAACUCCUCACAAGCUCCUAUGUCCUUAAAGAAUUAAGCCCGGUAAAUCCUCAGACCGCGGUGAGGCGGCCCCCAAGUCGGAGGUCUGGGCUGAGAUGUGCAUCCUCUCUGCUUGAGUGUCAGAGGCCCCUGACCAUGUUCCCAGCCAUCCCUUGCUGCAGUCAUUUUCAGCACCCCAGGAUCUGCUGGGAGUCUUGGGACUCCUGAGCCUGCCCCGUCUCUCUGGGAAGCCUGGUGUGUCGGGGGCUCGCCGCAGACACAACACUCACUGUUCCUUGAUCUUGUUUGCAGCGGUCCUUCCAACCUCCUUCGUGUGGGCCUGGGCUUUGCAUCCGUGCCACAGGUAGAUGAGGGCCUUGUUGAUGUUGAGCACCACCAUGGAAGUCCUGGACCUCAGGCUACUACAGUGACAGGCCACUUCCAGCAAAUUCCCUUCCAUGGGCACCUCUCCACGCACACAGUACAGCCUCCACUCACCUGCAGGGGGCACCAGCGGCAUGUAGGAAUUACGAUAGUGCACCACCAUCCCCCCUUGGAAACACUGCAGGAAACAGGGGGGCUCCUUUCCCUGGAGAACCUGGACCUUCAAAUUUAAACAGAGGUAAAUAGGUAAGGGGCAUGGGUCUUUCAAAGUCCUAAAAACAAUACAUGCCUCUCACAGAAAAUGUGAAAAAUAUGAAGAUGUACAAACAAAAGCCAGUUCCAACACUAGGGCCUAAAGAGAAGAGAAGCUUUGCAAACUGGAGUGUGCAACCUCCUCUCGGUGUUAGGGAGUGUCUUCUUUUCCUAAACAAAGUAGGAGACUUAUAUUUUAUAAGGAUGUAUAGCCUCGUUUUCUUUACUUAAUGUUGUUCUAUCAUGGAAUAUUCUUUAAAAACAUGACCCCUGAUAUUUAAUGGUAUUCUGUGGUUACUGAUGUAACGAGACUGAUAGAAACACGUUCUUAACAAGAUGUCAUUCUCAUUACUGAAAACGACUCAUCACUGAUUUAGUAAUCAUUCUGGGGAAAAUGUACGGUUUGUGGCCACUCCAGCAGUCCACUCAGUCUCUCCAUUGGCUGUUAGGGAAGGCUCUUCCUUCAGAUGUUAUCUGUACCAUGAAUAAAGUUAGGGUUGAGUCAGCUCCCUCUAGGACACUUUUCCCUUAAAAGAGGCAGUGUUUCCUGGAGCUGGUAGUCAGGGAGCACUGAGAGGAAGCAUUUCCCACUGUGAGUUAAUAUAUCAGUCUCAGCGCCCAUUUGGCAUAACAAGUCGCCAUUUCAUGGCAGUAUUUCAUAUCUAAAAUUUUCCAGGGCUGGACCAUGGCUCGUGCCUGUAGUGGUACACCCCUUAUGUCCCAGCUACUCGGGAGGCUGAGGAAGGAAGGAAGAUUGAGCCUGGGAGGUCGAGGUUGCAGUGAAUGGUGAUGGUGCCACAGCACUCCAGCCUGGGUGACAGAGUGAGACCCUGUCUCAAAAGAAUACAAAUACAAAUAAAAUGAUUUUCCAUCCACUGGAUUGAUAACAAGUAAAAUGCUUAAGUGCAAUAGAUUGAGUCAAAACUGAGGAUGAUUUUGAAGGCAUGAUAAAAGCAUAUUCAUUUAGAGCGUUUACAAAAAAAAAAAGUGUAGUUGAAAUGACUCAAUAUUAGGAAUAAAUUAAAAUGCACCUGUUGCCAAUAUCAUUUCUAAAAUAUAGUCCAUACUAGGAAAUUUUUUUUUUUUUUUUGAGACAGAGUCUUGCUCUGUCACCAGGUGCCAGGCUGGAGUGCAGUGGCGCUAUCUCGGCUCACUGCUACCUCUGCCUCCCGAGUAGCUGGGACUACAGGCGCGUGCCACCAUGCCCAGCUAAUUUUUGUAUUUUUUAGUAGAGACGAGGUUUCACCAUGUUGGCUAGGAUGGUCUCGAUCUCUUGACCUCAUGAUCCACCCGCCUCAGCCUCCCAAAGUGCUGGGAUUACAGGCGUGAGCCACCAUGCCUGGCCAGUAGGAAAUACUUUUUAGGGAACGUGAUUGGUUCUUAGGACUGCAAAGCUGGGUGAGUAUUGAUCCAUUUCUGGCGAAAAUGUCUGUCUCUGCUGUCUUCCCUCCUGCUAUUGUUAAUCAUUCAUCCAGGAGAAUAAAGAGAUUUACACAUGGCAUUGUCCUGUUUUCCAAGAAUCCCAUAGUUAACCUUUAAUUGCUGGGACUCAGCAGUGUAACUCUUAAUUGCUGGUACUAGUACUGAGCAGAUGAGACUCAGGCAUAGAUCAUCCAAAUGUUAAAGAGACGUGUUUACAGGCCUCUGAUCUGGGCAGCAGUCCCUGCCAGGCAAGAUGCAGGCCCUGGGGUUAUAAGGCCAUGGGGUUGUAAGGCCAGGGCCACAGGGUUUCUGUGCUCCUGGGGAUCAUGUGCUUUAGGUGACAGGAAGUGCUGUGAAAAUAAAGGGAUAAAGCACAGGGACAGAGAAUGAUAAGAGAAUGAGGAGGCUCUGGAUAGAACUUGGGGCGAGGGUGCAGGUGACAUUUGAACAGAAAGCUGCCUCAUCAGAGACUGAGAGCCACAGACUAGGCAGGGGAAGUUUCCAGACAGUGGGAAUGGGACACAGCAGGAGGUGAGUGGAAGGAGCUAGUAGUGGAACAGGAAGAGGCUGGCAUGGCCUGGGUGGAGGGGAGGAGCAAGAGGAGCUUGGAGAGGUGCCUGGGGCCCACUGCGAAGGUGCUGAAGCUCUGGGAAGGCACUUAGACUGCAGUGUGUGUGGCUGACAGCAAACGAGUGACCCAGUCUGAUCUGUUCCAGAAAACCCACUCAGGCUGCCAUGAAUGCAGGUGAGGUAAUGGGCGUUCCCAAUUCUUACAUUCAGGUAGAUUCAUGUAUGUGGAACAAGUGAUCAAAGUUUUAAGGUUCUCGUGCCAAAAUUUCAGGAUGGCUAUUCACGUUACACUUCUCACCCUGAACACAGCAUCCGCAUCCCACAGGAUCCUUGCCAGCCCUGGAUCUAUUCUUUAAAAAAUCACUACCAUUUCAAGAAGUGGGCGAUGGCAUCUCUUUGUUUUAUAUACAAUGCCUUCAUUGGUUAGGUGGAAACCUUUCAAGGUCACCCAUUGGCCAUUUGCACUUGUCAUGUGAAUUUCCUGUUUGCAGGUACAUUUUCUCUGGGAUCAUCUUACAAAAAGUGGGAGGACUAAAGAAGUGGGAGGCACAGCCUGAAGUCUGCAGAAGCCAGACUAGGGCUGACGUGCUUUGGGUGACGUGGUCUUCCAUUAGAAUCGUGUUGGGAGGAAACAGGCUGAGCAUCAUCAGCUCCCAGGAGAGGAUGCUCCUCUUGGUCCCUAGGGUGCAAAGCUCCCCAAAACUUACCUGGGCCCCCCUUUCCUCAUCCAGCUCCACCGUCAUCAGUGCCGACGUGCCCUUCUCACUCACUGUCGAGUGCCGGCCUUGCCAGAAGAAGUAGACACACUUCUCUUUGCCGGCGGCCCUCACUGAGUGCUCUCCCUUCUGGCGACUUCCCACUGCAAAUACAGAACAGCAGAGGGACAGGUCAGCAGCUGAGUUGCCCAAGGAGGAGCAAACAUCCCUCUCAUUUUCCCAGGGCUGGCGAGGACCAGUGGCAAAGAGAGUCAGGCCUGGGGAUGGGGACAAACCACUGGCACUGGAGGGAAGGGUGGCCAAGCCCAGGAGAAAAGAGAAACCACCUUCCUUCCAGCUCCUGACCCAGAGUCUCCAACGUGAAGAGAAAGGAUCUCAGGGGCCUCCUGGUGCCCCAAGAAAACACCUGUUAUCCGGAGGGGGUGGCAGAUCACUCCAAGUGUGCAGCACAGCAAUUUCUUCAAACUAUGUGGUGAGGCCAGGUGAGGGGCUCACUCCUGUAAUCCCAACGCUCUGGGAGGACUGCUUGAGGCCAGGAGUGCAAGACCAGCCUGGGCAACAUAGCAAAACCCCAUCUCUAAAAUAAUUUAAAGAAAUUAGCCUGGCAUGGUGUUGCACACCUAUAGCCCCAGCUACUUGGGAGACUGAGGCAGGAGGAUCACUUGAGCCCAGGAGUUUGAGACCACAGUUAGCCAUGAUUGUGUCACUGCACUCCAGCUUGGGUGACGGAGUGAGACUCCCUUACAAAUAAAUAAAGCAUUUGGGUAUUUGGUGACUGCCAGAGCAGGACUAAGGGCUCACAAACAAGUUUUCCACGUUACGCUACUUUUUGGCAAAAGAUUAGCUGGUAGAGAAAAGAUAUUAAAAACAAUAGCUGGAUCAGCUUUAAGCACAAACGGGUUGUUAAAACUAUUCUAGGAAAAAACACACCUUUGAAGUGUUCCAGUUCUGUCAGAAAUUGGGGACAUAGGUUGCUGACAUGUCAGUUGAACAUAAAUGAAUCUGGGAUUUCAUGUCUGUCACCAGGGCUGCUGCCAGGAUUAAGAGCUGAUAGUUGUCCUGGCUGGCACCACACAGGCACUCAGUAAACAUGGGCAGCACACUGGGCAGAUGAGAUUCUUGGUGUGGAGAGCAGUCAUGGGGAGGUUACAGGGUCUCCCUCUGUCAUCCAGGCUGGAGCAGAGUGGUACAAUCAUGGCUCACUGCAACCUCAGCCUCCUAAGUUCAAGUGAUCCUCCCACCUCAGCCUCCUGAAUAACUGGAACUACAGGCAUGCAUCACCAUGCCUGGCUAAUUUUUAUCUUUAACAUUUUGUAGAGAUAGGAUCUCACUCUGUUACCCAGGCUGGUCUCUUAACUCCUGGCCUCAAGUGAUUCUCCCACCUCAGCCUCCAAAAGUACUAGAAUUAUAGGCCAAAUGGACAUUUUAGAUGUCAUUGCAGACAUCCAAAUCUCUACCUGUAAGAAUAUGUCUCACUCUAGAUUCCCUUCAUUCAUUCACGCAUUCAACAAAUAUUCACUGAGCCAGGACUUCAGGAUUCUGGGCUACAAUGAUGAACGAGACACACAACUUCGGUGCUUUUGUUCUAAUAAAGAGACGAGCAAGACGAUUUCAGAUAGUGAUAAGUGCAAUGAGGACAAGAGAUAAGGAUGUGAUGCCUGGCAGGGUCGGGCUCAUGGGACGGCUGCUGAGGGAAGGCCUUUCUGAGGAGGUGGGGAGUGCAGGCGCGAAUAAUGCUGAUCUGGAAGCAGAAGCUUCUAGGCUGAGUGAGGCCAGCAGACCAAGCUCUUGACCCAAAGGCCUGGGUAUCUCCGGGAGUGGGGGUCAACACAGGAGAAUGCAUUUGAUGGGAACACCCACGCAAGUUAAAAAGGAAUGAGAAUAACUGGAGUCCCUGGGUUUAUAUCACCAUAACUUUUCUCAGCUCCAGUCCCAUUUCCCAUAUUACAACUAUAUUGAGAUUGGAAGGGGUGAGCAGAUCUCUCAGCCUUUGGAGUAACAGAACUGGGAACUUUAAAGAACAAAGUAAAGGUACUUGUAGUGCCCCAUCCUAAAAUGCAAAAAGGGAAAUAGUGUUUUAUAAAACCCAUUUAAGUUCUUCAAAGGUCGGGGUCAUAUUUAUUUGAUUUUUAUCUCUUUGCUUGGUAAGGUAUCUGUAACAGAUUUCUUAAAUGAUUCGAAUAAUUUCUUAAAAGUAUUAUGACUAAACACAGCCUUUCGUACCAUCCACUGUGGUCUAAACUGGUUCAGUUUGGGUGUUUUUGAGAGGGAAAAAUAAAAUAAGAACCAUCAAUGACUAGAUUAUAAAUCCCACAAUUAAUUUGGAAGCCACUUAAUUGAAAUUUCUGCUUACCAAGCAACAAAACUUUGCCUUUGAAUAGCAAUCCCAUUCUUCAAAAGUGAAAAUUUGUUUCACGAAAUAGAUUACUGAGGAAAGAUAUGUUUCAAAUAGAUAUAACAGUGUAUAAAGACCGUGAAAUUUGUAAGCACCCAAAUACAUUGUGUAAAUACAUAUUCACACUUAAGUAAUCAACAUCAUAUCCUAACAUUGUAAAUUGACUUGUAUAUACCCAAAUAGAAUUGUAUCUCCUUUUAAAAUUACUUCUAUUUUAGAGACAGGGUCUUGCUCUGUUGCCCAGGCUGGAGUACAGUGGUAUGAACAUAGCUCACUGCACCUUUGAACUCCUGGGCUCAGGUGAUCCUCCUGCCUUAGGCUCCCCAGGUGCUGGGACUGCAGGUGCAUGCCACCAUGCUGGGCUCAUUUUUUUUUUUUUUUUUGUAUAGACAGGGUCUCAUUAUGUUGCCUAGGUUAGACUCAAACACGUGCCCUUAAGUGAUUUUCCCAUAGCAGCUUCCCAAAACUCUGGGAUUACAGGUGUGAGUCUAGAAUUUUAUUUCUUUAAAGAUAUUUUAUGAAGCAGGCAUUUCACUAGUGUUCUUCACAUAUCCAAAUUCAGUCCUGUAUGCAACUUAAUUUUUCAUAUGUGUGUUCAUUUUUAAUUUCAGCAAUGUAAAGAUUAAAUUUUCAGUGGUAAGGACUUAAGGACUAUUCUCUUUACAACCUUGAUUAGUUACCUAAUUUAAAGUUUGGACAUGUUAUGCCAUCAAGGUACUUUCAAGAGUGAGUUUUGUGCCAGGAGUGCUUGUUAGGAAUAACAGAAACAGAGGUGUAAAGACUGCUCAUGUUAAUUAUUCUCAAACCAGAGCCACCUCUAAUUUAUAGGAAUUAAGCCUCUGUCACGCCCUGGGGAAGCCUGGCUCAGCAUUCCUGGCACCAGGAGCAUCUGUCUCCUGACCCUGCUGGGGUGCAAGCAACCCUGCCCUGCAGACACUGGGCCAGGACACUGACCGUAGCAGGCUGGCUGGCAUUGGCCAAGCAGAGGCUGUACCCUCUGCACAACCACUGCUUUUUGCUGACCUCCCAGAAGUGCUCCCUGAGCUCUGACUCAGUCUUGUUUGCAGGUGUGGCCCUUGUGGGUGCAAGUGAUGGAGGAGCCAGACUAGUGUCACCAAGGGGCUAGAGCUUCCGCAUUGGCUGCGGAGUCACCGCAAGUGCCAUUGGGCUGUGCUUUCCAGCUGCUGGAGGGACGGUCUGGAAUCUGAAUGCUCCAUGCUCUAUCCUAAUUCUCUAAAGCUGGACUUUUUCAAAGUUGUAAGUCUGCUGCAAAGGUACCAUUGGAGUUGGCUGUGAGAUGUCCAUUGUGUUUAUUGGGAAGAAAUUUGACCUGGGUCAAAUCAUAUUUCCUAGGAGCCUCCAAGUCAGUAGUCUGUGAAAGUCUUUGAACUCUUAGCUUUAUUUUUAAUUAAUUCACUUUAACGGUUUUACUCAUUCAUCUACUCACUAUUACCUUCCCCCCGCACCCCUCGUAACAGCUAAGGUAAGAAAAUGCCUGGUUUUAUAAACACGAUUUCCCUUUUUGCAUUUUAGGAAGGGGCACUACAAGUGCGUUUAGUUUCUUCUUUAAAGUUCCCAGUUCUGUUACUCCAUAGGCUGAGAGAUCCGCCCGCCCCGAAACACACUCCGUUCCCUAUUACCGUCAUCACUGGUAACCACAUCAGAGAUUAAUUAUCACUGCACAUGCCACCUCCGCAUGAGAGCAAGAGCGUAAAUCCAUGACAGUGACUCUUUGGAAAUUGCCAUUAUUUUGGGGAGAUCCACGUUAUCUCACUUUCAAGUUAAAAACAGUAAUUAUGCUCUUCUUGCUGACAGUGUCAGUGAUGAGUCUUUCCUGCACCUGCAGUGUGAACACAGGCCCGGCACCUGCUCAACAUCAUAAAGUCCUGUGAGCUGAGUAUUAUAAUCCCUCCUUUCCAGGUGAGAAAACCAAGGCUCAGACGGGGUAACUUUACUCAACCCACGUAGCUGGUGUCUGAUCAGCCUGUGCCUCCUGUGGCGCCGGGGUGGGCGCACCUGCACAGCAAGGGGGCUGUAAAGAGGCCAAAAGACUCUGCUGAGUUGACGUCACAGAGCUGCGACCUGCAUGCUGUCCUACGUGGGAGGGGUGAGGAGCGCUGCAGGAAGGCUCCUCCUUGGCAAAGACCUGGAUGGUUUCUCCAGAGUUCACCUGACUCCCCCGCCCCCAGCUUCAAGCAUCCAGGUGAGUGCUUUGCAAUCGGGCACGUCACCAACAGCAACCCAGGAGAGUUUAGACUGUACUAAACCAGACCUACAAAGGCCACUUGUGCGCUCAGCCUUGGGAGAAACAGCCUCUUACUUUUCAAAUCAACCUUGUGUGUGUGUAUUUACUGUAACGUUACAGCACCAUUUGGCUCCAGCUUUAAAUCACAAAGAUAUUCUCUACUUAAUGACUUUAAUUGAAGCAGCAUACACGCACUUGAGAAAUCAUUUAGAGGCCAAUCAUCGCUUUCCCAGAACAGCUCUGGGGACAGGGACAGGGAGGGAGAGAGGGAGCCAGGAAGCCUUGACGUGCAAGUCAAUUUCUACAGGUGAACACCAUCGGCCUCGGCAAGGCUAAGCGGUUAGGGAUUCGGCCUUACUCCUUUACUCCUUUUCCCCUCUGUGGUUUGCUAAGUGGCUCUCAAAGACACAUGACUGGAGUGCCCCACUGCACGCACGAACACAGCAGAGGGCACCACAACUCCCGCAGGGUUGCCGGCCAGCCUCUUUCAGCUGGAAGAAACCACGAGCGCUCACUAACCUGCCGUGCUCACCAUGAACUUCCACUUGACCACAUAGGCGUCCCCCUCGUGGAACUGCCCGAUGCUCUGUUUGGGGAGCCUGCUAUAGUCGAAUUCCAGGAUGUGCCACACAUCCACGGAGACACUGGUGAUCUCAAACUGCCUCCUGUCGUGCCCUUCCACCAGGCCAUAGCCGCGGCCGACGUUCACCCCGUCCAGGAUGGUGCCUGCUGUCGUCUGGGGCAUGGACACCAUCCGCGUCACGUCAUACGGCUUGACAUCAGCCCUGGGGUCUUCCUACAGGGGAACAUGAAGGUUGCCUGUUUCCACAGCCAUUCCUUGUCACAAUGCUGCUUCAACCAUUUAUGAGACAGCAUAAAAAUACAGGUUCCCCAGGUGGUCAAGGCUGCAGUGAGCUAUAAUUGCACCACUGCAAAAAAAAAAAAAAAUACAGCCUCCACACUCUGUCCCAGGAUGCUUAGCUGCAGUGAGGGAAAGGCUGCAGUUCCAGGAAGACUCUGGGAGGUCUGAACAACCAUUGCCACAACAGUACAUGGAUGCCCAAGAACAGGUGCAAACCAGACUCUUCACCUCCUGGAGUCAGGUUAGAAAUGGAGGCCAGUCUGCUUCUACUCGUGAGUCUGGGGAAGGCUUCCUAGCUUUAAGGAACAGCUAGAAGAGAGGAUUUGAAUGUUCUCACCACAAAGAAUUGAUAAAUCUGAGGUGACGGUCAUGCGAACCACCUGAUUUGAUCAUUUUACAUCAAGGCCACUUUUGCUGGGACCCGAACCAAGCCCCGAGGCUGAGACCUGGUCGCCGGGAUACCUUGUGCUGGGCAAGCUCCCCGGGGUUCUUCUCAUGCGGUCGCUUCAGUUCCGUCCAAUCCAGAAACUUCUCUUUGAACAAAAUCGUCUCAUUGUGUUCAGUAAAGGCAUCAACAUCAUCUGCUGCCAGAUAAAUCCUGGAAUUUCAGGGCGAUGCUGGGAAGGUAUGAAUUAGAAGAAGCACAUUGCUUCUGCACCUUCACAUCGGUGACUGAAUUCCAGCUGGGGAAGCGUUUCACAUCCGCAUGUGAUUUGUUUAAACAAUUGCUGUUCAUCUGCCACGGCAGCACCUGGAGUGCCACAGGUGGGAACUUGCAGCAUCUCCUGCUCACUUCAAGAAAUCAACUAUCACAUAACCUCUUCCAGAAGACUACAGCAUCCAUAUUUCUGCAGUAGUUGGAUAAAAGUGAAAGAAGUGCCUUCUGUGAAUAUUCACGGUCCACUGCAUAUAAUCAUUUAUGAAAACUGAACCCUAUAAAGAGCAAGAGUAGAGGACUGCGGUGAGAACAGAGGGAUCGAAUGGAAUCUGCGAUCCUGCGUGGUGGUAGGAGUACCUGGGGAUAAGUGGAUUGCAUUCUCCAGGAUCCAGUGGGUUGAUGUCACAGUUCUCAUAGUCAAAUGUUCCAUUCCAUAAGUGCUUUGCCAGCUGAAAUGCUAUUUUUCGUUGUGCUAACGUGACCUCCUUCCCAUGCCACACGUAAACUUCACUACCAAAAUCAAACACCAGUACCUGGGAGAAACGGCACAAAAGAAUUUGUUAACUUCAAGAACGUGCAACAGUUGAAUCAGGGUCUCUGUUAACAGAGAGUCAAACGCAGGAAGACAGAAAUCCUAAUGGAGCAACCAGUACAGACACAAAAAGGCCAUGAGAUCUCAGCUGGUACUGCCCCACCAAGCCAGCCUCUGCCCCCGGGGGCGUGAUUCCUUCUCCCAGUGUCCUAAGUGGCCGAGAUAAUGUUCCCUCCUCUUGUGAUCCACAAGAGUUGUGUAAGCACAUCUUCCUAUGUUCUUUCCUUCCUCCCCCUCCCCUGUUCCUCCCUCUCUCGUGCUCACUCUUUCACUUAAUAUAUACACAGAGGCUCCUUCACACACCAGGCACUCGGGUCCAGUGGUGUCUUCUCUCCUGUACACAAUUCCAAGAUCCUUAAGGGCAGGGAUCAGAUCGUAGCAAUACACAGAGGAGGGGUUGAUUACUAUGUGUUUGCUGAGUGAAUACCUAAACGUAGUGCUAGUUCUUAUUUUCAUGGUUCGUUUUAUUCUUUCUCUUAGAAUGAUUUCUCCCUUCAUUUCCAGCAAUUCAAAUUUUGUUUAACUCUAAACUCAGCUCAAUUUCACUUUCUAUGUAAAAUUACUCCUGAAGAUUUCUUUUUCUGUGACUUUUUUCCUGUGUAAAUGCCCAUACAUAUCACACAGCCACCCUCACUCCAGAUGACAUUCCUGCUAAGACUCUUCUGUCCAGUUACACUGAAGGGCCUUGUGUGUCUUCCACCUUCUCAACACUUAGCAUACUUAAUGGGACUGGAAAUAUAUGUGAUUAACCAAUAUUUACUGGCGUGACAGGACAAAGGCAGCA